GGUCUGCCUCCCCUCCCCCCAGCCCGCGGGGGUGCGGCACGCGCGGUGUUCGUGUGCCAGCAGUGACGCGGGAUCACGGGAUCAGUUAGGUUGGAAGAGAUCUCGGAGAUCAGCGAGUCCAACCUGUGACCCAGCACCACCGUGUCAACUAGACCAUGGCACUAAGUGCCACGUUCAGUCUUUCCUUACACAGCUCCAGGGACAGUGACUUUACCACCUCCCUGGGCAGUCCAUUCCAGUGUGUAAUCACGCUUUCUGUGAAGAAAUUCCUCCUGAUGUCCUAACCUAAACUUCUGCUGCCACAACCUGAGGCCAUUUCUUCUCAUUCUGUCACUUGCUACUUGAGAGAAGAGCCCGACCCCCACCUGGCUACACCUUCCUUUCAGGGAGUUGUAGAGAGGGAUAAAGUCACCCCUGAGCCUCCUUUUCUCCGCGCUAAACAACCUCAGCUCCCUCAGCCACUCCUCACGAGACUUGUGCUGCAGACCCUUCCCCAGCUCUGUUGCCCUUCUGUGGACGUGCUCCAGUACCUCGAUGUUCUUACUGGCCCAGAACUGAACAUAGUACUCGAGGUGUGGCCUCACCAGUGCCUGGUGAUCCAGAUGGCCAGACUAUUUCUGGUACAAGCCAGGAUGCCAUUGGCCUUUCUGGCCACCUGGGCACAGUGCUGGCUCAUGUUCAUCCAUCAAUGUCAUCAGGCAUUGUCCUAGCCCUCUCCUCCUCUGCCCCAGUGCUUGAGGUUUCCACAGAGAGCUGCCAGAAGAAAGCCAAGGGGACAAGCCAGGAUUUUUAAUCUGCUGAUUACUGGGAUUUACACACAGAUGCAUUUGCAGUGCUUCCCCUCGCCUUCUUGAUCGGAACGGUUUCCAUGGUUUGUCAUUUUAGCGCACAGCAGAACAGCCUGGGGCACAUUUUGAUGUUUUAUGUUACCUGGUUUUAUCACGAAGGAAGAUCAAAAGACACACAAGCACCAUAAAAAAAGCUAGGCAAAGAUAGGAGUGCAGAGAACCUGGCAAAAGACUGCCAGAUGAGUGACCCUGGGGAGGCUGAGCUGGCUUCUGGCUGAGUCUGAGAUUCCAAAAUCAAACUGAGCAAGUUACGCGCACUGGCCACUUAGGAAAGGCAGAUGCAUCACAACUGGAGUUUUAUUUCUGUACUUCUUGUUCAUGUGUAACUGGAAGACGCAUAAUAGCAGGAAUGCUGUUCCCUGAGAUCCCUACUGGAGGAGAUGAUUACUUACGGCAGAGCGUAUGUGAGGAAAGAUGUUGGCUUCCUCUUCAGUAGUACUGUCCCCAAUUUGUUACACAGCAUGACAAAUAGAACAACACUUCCAUGAUGUUUAUAUGUUUUAUAACACAUGUUAGCAGUAGAAUCAAGACCAAGUGCCAAGAUAGUUAAUUAAUUCCACUUUCCUGAAUUAACCAUAAGGUUUGAGUUAUGUAUGGCAAUUAUCUCCUUUAAACUGUUAAGCACGCAGAAAGUGGUUAUUGCCCACUGUCUUUCUACCUCCGCCAUGUCAGGGACAGUGAAUCUUGCUCUGUGUGUGCUCGUGUGGUGACAGAGUAGUGCCACACACCUUCCUGCUGCUGUUAGAGCCAUGACAAGCUGCUCUGGCAGCCCUGCGGUGCUGGGCUGUGCUCCUGCGUGAAGCUGCCAGCAACUCACUGCCUGAGGAGUUCCCAUUCCAGGAGGUGAGGCAGAAAAGGGUAAGGCACUGGUGUAUCAUCAUCAUGGCUGCAAUAUGGAGGAGGAGAAAAGAUACAGAGAAGUGGUGACAGGUCCAUGGUUGCCCUGAGAAGCUGGAGUCACUGUAAGGAACUGAAUUCCCCAGGGUGGAUUAUGAAGUUGCUCUACAUGAAGUUGCUCUAUACAGAAAGCUUUGAGGAUAAUUAGAGAAGAACGACAGAAACAUCUUUGUAACAGUCUGAACAAUGUAAAUACAAGAUGGUAGAGCACAGGUAGCGAGUACAGAUUGGUAGGAAGAAGAGUUCGUGCUGUCUGUCAGUUAUUGAUGCCCUCUCCCUUCUCAGAACAAGUGUUACCAUUUUGUUCAGCAUCCUUAAGACCUGUAAAGAAAUAAUGAACAAAGGCAGGCUGGAAGGCCCUUCUGACAUCCUAACUGUCUUUUCCAUCUUGUGAAAAGAGUGAUCUUAAAAUGGGGACUAUCUUGCAGAGAUGGAGUCAGCCAUUGGCUAAAAGUGGAACUUACUCCACAAAUCUGCUCCCUGUGCUGCAAUCGGGAACAUUUACAUGUCAGUUUUCUGACAAAAGUACAUUUUUUUUUUGCUCUGUGUAACCUAAGACAGAGGCAGAAAUUGCAGUUGCUCUAAGAAGAAUCAGGUAAUUUUGGGUCACAUAAGCUGCAUCUCCCUUACUUGGUGGAGCACAAGCCAGAAAGCUGCCUGAAACUAAGUGCACUCAUCUGUGUGUCUGCAGUUCUGGUCCUAAAGUACAGUUCAUGAGCCUAAAGUGUCUUGCUGAAGACACCAGCCUUUUUAGAAGGCUCCUACACUGACUUGUCUGCAUUGUACUGACCAUGUAAUUUUGCUGCAUAGUAAUAAGAGCAUAUAAUAAUAACAUGAGUUAACAUGGCCUAUGGGUUGGCAUAUGUUUGAAUGUGGACUAAAGAAUAGUAUGGCUCUAAAUCUCUGGUUGUUUGAAAUUCCUGCAUUUUGGGUGUUAGUAUUGAAAUUAUUUGGACAUGAAACAAAUUUGAGCUAAGCAUGUGCUAGGACGCAAGCUUGAAAUACACUCUAAAAGUAACCAUGGUGGUGUCCACACCCAUGCAGACUAUAGUGCAAAUCCCAUUACUGAAGCUGCAUAGGUGCACACUGAUGUGACUUUCUGCUUUUGUUUAGUUAUGGUGCAAAUGCACCAAGUAAAGCAUGCACUUACCCAACAAAAAUACAAACCUUCUAAGGUGCUUCUACAAAAAUGUUUUAUUUUUGUGGUCCUACUGUCAGCAGAAUAGUAGAGGCAAAAGGAUUGUGCUAUUAAGGAGUUACACUGACUAAAGAAAAAAAAAAGCUAAUCAUAAAAAGUAAAGAAGAAUAUUGGAUUUGAGAAUUUAGGCUCAGUAUUUUGUAUAGAAAACCUGAUAUUAAAGCUGCAAAGAAUCCUCAUCUGUAUUUCAGGAAUGUAAUCCUGGUUACUUAUAUACAAAAUGCUUGCCUGUCUUGAUUAUUUAGGAUAUAUUUCUUAAUUUCUUUUAGAACAGAACAACACCAAAUUGCUAUAUUCUUACUUCAAGGCAAAACUCACAUGUUUAGCCUAAAUGAAACCUAAAUGAAACUAACUUGACUUGAUUUAUCUUUUUGUUAUUUUCUAUGGGACAUAUUGUGUUAUUAAUUUAGGCAGGACACUCCUCAUUGUUUUCACUGGAGAGUCCUGCUUAAAACAUGAACCCACAUUACACUGUCCUAAUGAUGAACUUGGAAUAAGUAUUCGGAUCUGAAGGGAGAGACAAUCUGAUUUUAUAAAUCUAUUAAUUUUUAUGGAGCUUGACUUAAAAAAAAAACAAACAACAUGGAAAUAAAGUUCAGUUUGAAUUCUGACACUCAGAAUUCAUUUUUCCAAAUGAAGCUCUCUUUCCUGAGAAGUGAGCUUCAUUUUGGAAAAAAAUAAAAAGAAAAAAAGCAAGGAAAAAAACCCCCUUGAAUUGCAUCCUCCCACGAGGACAUUUAAUUUAAUAAAGCAGCCUCCUCGGGAUUGCUCCACUGUUGCUUAGGCGCCUCAGGGGGAGGAUUCUUCCUCAUGAGGGGGAGGACCUUGGCCAAGCAUGAGGGAGACACUAAGGCUGGGUGUUAGGGAGUGGAUUUGUCCCUGAGGGCAACAUUCCCCUUUCCAAACAGCUGUAUGGAUUUCUAAUGCAAAUUCUGUCUUAAUUAUGUGUGUGAGAGCAUUCAUUUUUAGGUAGGUCAACCGUUUCACACUCCUCUCUGAAUUCCCCUGGCUAGUUUGCUUGGUCUGGCAGUUUGCAGAAGUGCCCACCCUAUGUCCUGGUGUAUACCUGCCACCCCCCUCCAUCCUCGCCCCCAGGAUGUAGGAUAAUAACUUGUAAAUGACUUGUUGGCAAGUUUUACAAAGGUAAUCUGAGUUUUGGCUUUAGUGUGCCAGUGUUGGUAAUCCCAGGAAGAACAAGUUAGCCCUUCUGCCUUUCAAAGUGGAGCCAGUGGAGUCCCUUGCCCUGUCUGUAGCCAGGGUCUGGAGUGGUUUAGUUGUCUGCUACCCCAGCACCAGCCACCCACCAGCUCCCAGGGCCAGAGCUGCUCCUCUUUGUCACACUGUGUUGGCAAUUUCGUGUUCCAACAUCAGUCUCCAAAAUAGAAGCAAAAGACAAAAUCCUCUCUAUGCCCCUAAAGAAGUGAAAAGGUACUUUGUCAGCCUCAACAUGAGCAAGACUGAAAUGAAGCCUCCCCUUGCACUCCCCGCUUGCCCACUGCCUUUACAAUAGUGCUAAAGUCUUUCAAAAUGUGAAACAGAUGCCUGCUUUUGGGAAGCUCAGUGUGUACCUGUUGCACACUGCCUUCAACCCAGGAAUGGAUGCUGUCCAGGAAAUGGCAAAGCAGGAUGUAGAGUUUUACAUACACAAAUAAUACACUCUUCUAUCCAGAAGCAAUAUUCUAGGGAUAUAAAAUGAGUUGUUAUUUGUUACUAAAGCAUUUCAGGCCAAACAAACUAAGAAUGGGGCCAGGAAUGAGCAGAUUUGCAACAAAUUUGCAUGGAAGAAAACUCUUUAUUAGUUGGUCAGCAUUCUCGUGCAGCAUCUUGAAGGAUGAUUAGAUACUUUCCUAGCUUUGGGAAAUAUUGUGAAGGACUAGUCCUUUAUUGUUGCUUUUUUUGAUUUUUUUUUUAGGUGGUGGAGUGGAGGGGAGUUGGAAGAACAUAUGGAUGUGUGAUUUUUUUUGUUUAAUCUUUGUUCUUUUGCCUCCCAUGGCAGUCUCUCUGGUUUGUCUUACCUAUUUGAUUGAGUUUUCAAGAGGAAGCCAAGAAGCUGUGAAGGAAAGGACACUGAAACUCUCUUACAUCCAGCAGCAGGAAUGCAUCUGGCAGCACAUUCAUGCGUUUAAGCCAAAUUUUCUCUGAUUAAAUGUUUUUGGCAAAAAAUCAGAAUUGAUAAAUACAUUGCAUAUUGAGCUCCUUUCCAAAAGUAAAAUGAGAAAGGAGGGGAAAUACUAUCCAGUUCAGAAAAACUCGAUGGUACUGUGUUUUGAUAUCUAGUUAUGUAUAUGUAGCUUAAAACGUGAAAAGUGGUGGUUGCCAGUGAUCACAUAAUCAGACUUUUCAAGAAAAAGUCGGCAAUAACGCCAGAUGGCGCUUAAAGCCCAGAAUAACCCUAAAAACGCCUUAACCGCAGGGCUUCCAGUGCCACCUAGUGCCGCCACCCGCCCUCCUGCUUCGGGCAAGUAACAUCUCAGGCAAGGAGAGCCGCCAGAAUAGCUAACUUCUGGAGGAGCAAGUUCUCUAUGUUCAUCGUGCAGCAUAUGCAAUGGUUUGAGAUGGAGAGUGUGUCUGGAGGCAGUACUACCAUCUUUUAAUAUUCUGACUCUAUUCCUGCUCUCCUCCUAAAGCAUCCCACCCUCAUGGACAGUGUACUGGUUUAGGUGCACUUUUUGCUCUUCUCAUGGUAUUUUUGACAGCCUGAAAUUUGCUGUCAAAAAUUAUCAGCGCUAUCAGAAACCAAAACGUGUAAGUAAAAAGAGGCAGACUGUGAGAAAGUAAUUAUGUCGUCUUCAGUAUCCCUUUCACAGUGAUACUUUGUUCACUUACACGCCUCCAACAGAGGUUUUGCAAACAUUAAUGAAUUAUUAUUAUUAUUAUUAUAGCUAUUGCCAUUAUACUUUGUUUACUUCCCUUUAUCCCGUAACAGUGAAGCAAACAGAAGGGAAUUAUUGUAGUCAGUAAUUUUCAAGGAUUCAUUUUAAGCAACAAAUCCUUGGUUCCUUCUACUUUGCUGCUGAGCUUGCAAAUACUUAGUGGCAAUCUCUGUUGUUCAUCACAGGGAAAAAUUUUAAAGCAAAUGAACAUCAAAGAAGUAGUGAGAGGAGAAGGAUUGUCAGUUUCCACAUUAGACUAUCCUAUGUAAAAAAAAAAAAAAAAAAAAAAGAGUUGUUUUAUCUCUGAAUGAAUGGGAUGGGACUUACUCAUCUCUCCACAUCUGCCUGCUUUACACAGUCCUUCAGCCUGCCUGAGCAUGCAUGUUUUCUGAGUGGGAUAUGUCCUGUCCUGUUAUGUCAGCUCCUUUUCUCCCGAAAAAAAAAUAAAAGCCAGCAACAAUGUUCUUUUCUUGCAGAUUUAUGAUUUUCUGAGCAAUGAUUUUCUACAUUUGGCUGCUUCAUUGCUCACUGAACACUUGCCAUUGCUAACAGAAUGAAAAUCUUCCUAGUAGUUGAAACACGUUAAUUGCAAUUAAUGAAUACAACAAAUGCUUACAGGCAUUGCCUAUUAAGUCACUCUUUUGCAUAGCAACCUGUUACCUUAUAGUGUUGUUCCCUCAUCUGUGCCAGUUCUUUAUUCCUCCCAUGGAUCACAAUCGUUUACCCACAAACAAUAGGCAAAUAUGGGUGUUGUUAUGUUUUUGGGCAUCUUUCCCCCCUUCAUCUAAGUGUUUGUGGUGUGCUUUGUCUGUAAAGGUCACCUGAGCCACCUAGAGGGCUGAGGGUAAGGAGCCUUCCCUGGGAGAAGGUCAGUGAAGGAGUGAGAAAGAGCCCCCCAGGGCCUCACUGGUUCUCCCUGGGAGACACAAAAGGGACACACGGAGAACUGACAGCAGUCUGAGUUUUGAGUGUAUAACAAAAUGAGGAAGAAAACUUCUAAUUAGCUCAUCUAGAGAAAGCAUGGGGGAAAUAACAGUCUUUCUUGCCAUAUAUUUUUUUGAAACAGAAAUGCUCUAUUUGCUGUAUAAUUAAUAUGCAUUUUUUGGCUGUCAGUGUCAUAAGGAAGUGCCAUAUGCAAGUGUCAGGCCCAAGUUUAGGAGAAGACAGUGAUAAACACUGUACUUUUGCUAGCUUCAGUGGAACGAGUUCUCAAAAUUAAAUGCAUGCUAAACAGUCGGGGGGUUAAGCACUUCUGUACUGUGAGAUCUCCGCUUGAGUAUUUUGCUGAGUCGAAGCCUGGGACACAUGUGGACCCCUACUUGCAUGUAAGGCAAGGACACCCAGUAGAGUAGAAGCAUGACUAAGAAUGCAUUCCCUCGAAGACACUUGGAACGGAUACUUGUGCCUGCAGUAAAGACUGUCUGAUGCUUCCCAGUGAGAAAAUGGGGCAGAGUAAGUGGGAACAGAUGUGGGGAUGGAGAGACAAGCCAGGGAGAACAAGAACAGCAGUUUUCCAGAAAGAAAAUACAUUUUUUUUCUGUGAUUGAACUGUGCUUUCCCAACUUUCAUCUUUCAUUUGCUGUCUAACAAAUAGCUUUGAAUAUACUCAUUAAAGUUCUGUCUCAUCUCCCUCCCGUGGCUGGGCAUAGACAAUAGUCUUCUACUGUGUCACCAAAUGCUCAAGCAGAUUAGGACAAUCGUAGGCUGUGCUAUGGAUCUAAGUUUUUGGGACCUGAUGAUUACUCAUGAAGUUUUCCAGUACUCUCUCCCUCUUUUUUUUUUUCCCUUUAAUGGAAUUGCAUGUGAAAACUACAUUAUUUAGCUUGCAAGUCAAGCACUGCAAAGUAACAAAAUAUCAGAAAUAAGUUGUCUGCAUUACAUUAAUUUGUCUCUUCCAUGUUCAUGAUAUUUACAUGAUUUUUUCCCUCAGGGUCCUUAACUGCACAGGAUGGGCUGUAUUCUCAGAUU